CAUUCUUAUGUGAAUGACUAUUAUACUUACAGUUAGUACUGCUUAAUUUAGUACUUAAUUAUUUAAGCACAAAAGUAAUUUCGCACUACCUUAUAUCAUUCUUUGCUAUUUCAGUGUGUACUUUAGGUUUUGUCUUCCCAGCUAUAUUUUGAACUUCAGGAAGACGUCUUGGUAUUUUCUCCACAAUUCCUAGCAGAGUCUCACAUAUAGUAGGCACUUAUUUAUUUAUUGAAUGAAUGAAAAUAGGUGUAAAGUAGAAACUAAACUGCUUUAAACAAUGAAAUAUUUCCUUUUUUCUCUGCAGUUUGGAGGAGCUCUUCCUGUGCCUUAAUGACUAUGAAACAGUGUCUUGUCCUUCUAUUUGCUGUCAUUCUCUUAAGCUACUACAUAUAACAGACAAUAACCUCCAAGACUGGACUGAAAUACGAAAGUUAGGAGUUAUGUUUCCUUCACUGGAUACCCUCGUCCUGGCCAACAAUCAUUUGAAUGCUAUUGAGGAGCCUGAUGAUUCACUGGCCAGGUUGUUUCCUAAUCUUCGAUCCAUCAGCCUCCACAAGUCAGGUUUGCAGUCCUGGGAAGACAUUGAUAAACUAAAUUCAUUUCCCAAACUGGAAGAAGUGAGAUUGUUAGGAAUUCCUCUUCUGCAGCCAUAUACCACCGAGGAGCGAAGGAAAUUGGUAAUAGCCAGAUUGCCAUCAGUUUCCAAACUUAAUGGCAGCGUUGUUACUGAUGGUGAACGAGAAGAUUCUGAGAGAUUUUUUAUUCGUUACUAUGUGGGUGUUCCACAGGAAGAAGUGCCAUUCAGGUAUCAUGAACUGAUCACAAAAUAUGGGAAGUUGGAGCCUUUGGCAGAAGUGGACCUAAGACCCCAGAGCAGUGCAAAAGUAGAAGUCCACUUUAACGAUCAGGUGGAAGAAAUGAGCAUUCGUCUGGACCAAACAGUUGCAGAGCUAAAGAAACAGUUAAAAACUCUAGUACAAUUACCCACAAGCAACAUGCUUCUCUACUAUUUUGACCAUGAAGCACCCUUUGGCCCAGAGGAAAUGAAGUACAGCUCUCGGGCAUUGCAUUCCUUUGGCAUUAGGGAUGGAGAUAAAAUUUACGUGGAAUCCAAAACAAAAUAACCUCUACCAGCCUUGUGAAAACAUACACAUAAGGACUUGUUGCAGGGCAUUUGUUUUUAAUGUGGUUUUCUUUAGGAGGGAGAAGG
rnacentral:sRNA from 1 species